AAGAGUCUGGUUUGGGAUUCGCGCAUUUAUAUCUCUACGUUCUUCAGUCGUUUCGCUUUCAACAGACGCAAAUAUAACCCAGCUCCCUCUUUCGCCGGAUUUAUAAUUAAAACUCGAAACUCGAAAGGGUUGGGUCAUUAUACCGUUUGUUCUUCAGCCAUUCCGCUACCCAAACCCCCCGGAGACCAAUAGCGAUCUCUGCAAUUCCACUCCAAGGAGACCCAGACACCCUGAUCCUUUACAGGUGACUCACAAAAAUUGUCAAGAUCGCUGUAAGUUUUCGAUUUAAGGUUAAUUGUUGUUUUUUAUUCUUUUUUUGGGUUUCUACUUCUAGUAUUACCCUUCUUAUUCAGCUUUUCGAUGGCAGGUUUUUCUGAUGUGAUAGGUUUAAGUAACUGCACCAGAUAGAUUCAUUGCAACUUAGAAAAGAAGGAAACUACUGAGUGUGUCUCCGUGGUUUUUUUGGUCUUUUUGUUGGGUUCUUCGUCGUAUUUUUUCUGUUUUUUUUCUUCUAUAAAAUCUUUUCUUGUUGGUUGUAAGAGAAUGCCAUUCAUUCUGUCACUUUUCUUAUGUCAGAUCAACAUGUUUUAGUCGAAUCCUUUUUUUUGGCUAUGUCAUGGUUGUUGUUCAUAUUUGUUAAAAAUUCAAUAUUGUGAAAUCAUCAUUCUUUGAUUCACAUAUGUUGAACUGUGACUAUGCUACUGAAGGAUCUGUUAUGUUUAUUAAUUUAUUUUCCCAUAACAAAAUUAUACUUUCUAGAAUUAUGACUCUUAUUAAUGUUUAACAAUUAUAUGUUUGUGUAGGUUAUACAGAAUCAUUUAAAGUGGAAUACAAAAAACAGAUCCCAACAUCAAAAUAUGAAUGCUUGUAUUUGGUAAGUCUUGGUAAGCCUAGCUUUUCGAAAUUUUCACAUACCUUUGUAUAAAAAACAGCAGUGAAUGUGAGGGGGUUAUAUAUGUAACAAAAAAUAAGUUUUCUUUUUAUAAUUUCUUGUUUAUAGAUUUAGUUUUUAUACGUUUUAUUUAGAAACAAACAUGAAGGCAGGGGAAAUCAUAAUGAACCAAGAAUCACCUAGCAACCCCCUGUCAAGGUAUAAUAAAAUAUCCAUGAGAUUUAUCAGGCUAUUUUGUGUGAUUUGGUCCUAAAAAACAUAUGAAAAAUACUUAGUUGUAACAUCUUGUAUAAAAUAUUUUUGAUGCUUAAAUUCCUUUAUUAUCCUUAAUUAGUAAUGGAUUGCUUGGAUUUGCAGUUUUCAUGGUUAUGUUAAUAGAACAAUCAGAGCAGUCAACAGCUCCUAGCAAUUUGGAAAAAAUAGAAAAAAGCCAAAGGUCAAUAUAUGGUCAAAGG
rnacentral:lncRNA from 1 species